rnacentral:rRNA from 1 species
UACGUAGGAAGCAAGCGUUGUUCGGAUUUACUGGGCGUAAAGGGCGCGUAGGCGGCGCAACAAGUCACUUGUGAAAUCUCCGGGCUUAACCCGGAGCGGCCAAGUGAUACUGUCGUGCUAGAGUGCGGAAGGGGCUACUGGAAUUCUCGGUGUAGCGGUGAAAUGCGUAGAUAUCGAGAGGAACACCUGCGGCGAAGGCGGGUAGCUGGGCCGACACUGACGCUGAGGCGCGAAAGCCAGGGGAGCGAACGGG